rnacentral:rRNA from 1 species
UCAUAUGCUUGUCUUAAAGAUUAAGCCAUGCAUGCCUCUGUACAAACUGCAAUAAAGUGAAACCACGAAUGGCUCAUUAAAUCAGUUACUAUCCAUUGGAUAUUCACUAUCUACAUGGAUAACUGUGGUAAUUCCAGAGCUAAUACAUGCAACAUGCCUUGACCUCACGGAAUAGGUGCAUUUUAUUAGACCAAGAUCAAUGGGACUCUUCGGGGUUCCUUGUGAUGGUGACUCUGGAUAACUACGCUGAUCGCAUGGCCUCUGUGCCGGCGAUGAGUCCUCUGAGUAACUGCCUUAUCAACUAGAUGGUAGGUUAGACGCCUACCAUGGUUGUAACGGGUAACGGGGAAUCAGGGUUCGAUUCCGGAGAGGGAGCCUGAGAAACGGCUACCACAUCCAAGGAAGGCAGCAGGCACGCAAAUUACCCACUCUCAGCACGAGGAGGUAGUGACGAAAAAUACCGGUACGGGACUCUUAGGAGGCCCCGUAAUCGGAAUGAGUACGAUCUAAAUCCUCUAACGAGGAUCUAUUGGAGGGCAAGUCUGGUGCCAGCAGCCGCGGUAAUUCCAGCUCCAAUAGCGUAUAUUAAAGUUGUUGCGGUUAAAAAGCUCGUAGUUGGAUCUCGACUCAUGUUAGGUGGUCCACCUCACGGUGGUUACUGCUUGACUGAGUUACCUACGGAUUUGUCUCUUGAUUCUCUUAACCGAGUGUCUUGAGCGAUCCGUUCGUUUACUUUGAACAAAUUAGAGUGCUUAAAGCAGGCAUCUCGCCCGAAUAAUCUUGCAUGGAAUAAUAGAAUAGGACUUUGGUUCUAUUCUGUUGGUCUUCGGAUCCAAAGUAAUGAUUAAGAGGGACAGACGGGGGCAUUAGUAUUGCGGCGCUAGAGGUGAAAUUCUUGGACCGUCGCAAGACUAACAACAGCGAAAGCAUUUGCCAAGAAUGUUUUCAUUAAUCAAGAACGAAAGUUAGAGGUUCGAAGGCGAUCAGAUACCGCCCUAGUUCUAACCAUAAACGAUGCUAACCAGCGAUCAGCCUGAGUACUUUUAAGGACUCGGCUGGGAACUUCUCGGGAAACCAAAGUUUUUGGGUUCCGGGGGAAGUAUGGUUGCAAAACUGAAACUUAAAGGAAUUGACGGAAGGGCACCACCAGGAGUGGAGCCUGCGGCUUAAUUUGACUCAACACGGGAAAACUCACCCGGCCCGGACACUAUGAGGAUUGACAGAUUGAGAGCUCUUUCUUGAUAUAGUGGGUGGUGGUGCAUGGCCGUUCUUAGUUGGUGGAUCGAUUUGUCUGGUUAAUUCCGAUAACGAACGAGACUCCAACCUAUUAAAUAGGACUUCAUCUCCUUCGGGCGAUGAUGAACUUCUUAAAGGGACAGGCGGCGAUUCAGCCGCACGAGAAAGAGCAAUAACAGGUCUGUGAUGCCCUUAGAUGUCCGGGGCCGCACGCGCGCUACACUGAAGUGUUCAGCGUGCAUGCGUUUCCUACUCCGAAAGGAGUGGGAAACCCUGGGAAUUCACUUCGUACUUGGGAUAGGGCAUUGUAACUAUACCCUUGAACGAGGAAUUCCCAGUAAGCGUGAGUCAUUACCUAGCGUUGAUUACGUCCCUGCCCUUUGUACACACCGCCCGUCGCUACUACCGAUUGAAUGAUUUAGUGAGGUCUUCGGAUUGGAUAGUGCAGUUUUCUCUGAAAGCAGCAUCUAUUUGAGAAGAUGACCAAACUUGAUCAUUUAGAGGAAGUAAAAGUCGUAACAAGGUUUCC